rnacentral:rRNA from 1 species
GACGAACGCUGGCGGCGUGCUUAACACAUGCAAGUCGAACGGAAAGGCCCUGCUUUUGUGGGGUGCUCGAGUGGCGAACGGGUGAGUAACACGUGAGUAACCUGCCCUUGACUUUGGGAUAACUUCAGGAAACUGGGGCUAAUACCGGAUAGGAGCUCCUGCUGCAUGGUGGGGGUUGGAAAGUUUCGGCGGUUGGGGAUGGACUCGCGGCUUAUCAGCUUGUUGGUGGGGUAGUGGCUUACCAAGGCUUUGACGGGUAGCCGGCCUGAGAGGGGGACCGGCCACAUUGCGACGGAGCUACGGCGAAGACGCCUACGGGAGGAAGCAGUGGGGAAUAUUGCACAAUGGGCGGAAGCCUGAUGCAGCAACGCCGCGUGCGGGGUGACGGCCUUCGGGUGGUAAACCGCUUUCGCCGGUGACGAAGCGUGAGUGACGGUAAUGGGUAAAGAAGCACCGGCUAACUACGUG